rnacentral:rRNA from 1 species
ACGGGAGGCAGCAGUGGGGAAUAUUGGACAAUGGGGGAAACCCUGAUCCAGCGACGCCGCGUGAGUGAAGAAGUAUUUCGGUAUGUAAAGCUCUAUCAGCAGGAAAGAAAAUGACGGUACCUGACUAAGAAGCCCCGGCUAACUACGUGCCAGCAGCCGCGGUAAUACGUAGGGGGCAAGCGUUAUCCGGAUUUACUGGGUGUAAAGGGAGCGUAGACGGUUCUGCAAGUCAGAAGUGAAAGCCCGGGGCCCAACCCCGGAACUGCUUUUGAAACUGUAGAACUGGAGUGCAGGAGAGGUAAGUGGAAUUCCUAGUGUAGCGGUGAAAUGCGUAGAUAUUAGGAGGAACACCAGUGGCGAAGGCGGCUUACUGGACUGUAACUGACGUUGAGGCUCGAAGGCGUGGGGAGCAAACAGGAUUAGAUACCCUGGUA